GACGAACGCUGGCGGCGUGGAUUAGGCAUGCAAGUCGAACGGUAUCAUCCUUUCGGGGGUGAGAGAGUGGCGAACUGGUGAGUAACACGUAGGUUAUCUACCCUCAAGACGGGGACAACCCAGGGAAACUUGGGCUAAUACCGGAUGUGAGCAACUUUUAGUUGUUUGAAAGGUGGCGUAAGCUGUCGCUUGGGGAUGAGCCUGCGUCCUAUUAGUUAGUUGGUGAGGUAACGGCUCACCUAGGCAAUGAUAGGUAGGCGGCCUUAACGGGUGGUCGCCCACACUGGGAUUGAGAUACGGCCCAGACUCCUACGGGAGGCAGCAGUCGAGAAUAGUCUACAAUGGUCGGAAGACUGAUAGUGCGACGCCGCGUGAACGAUGAAUCCCUUCGGGGUGUAAAGUUCUUUUAUAUGUGAGCAGUGCUUCUUAUAUUAACAGUAUGGGGAGAGCGAUAUUAGCAUAUGAAUAAGCAACGGCUAACUCCGUGCCAGCAGCCGCGGUAAAA
rnacentral:rRNA from 1 species